AUAUAAUGCGCGGCUUCAGGUGCCAACGCGGCGAUCAGCUGCUGAGGAUAAACGGGAAACAGGUGUGCAGUCUGACUGCCAAGCCUGUGCUGCCCCCGCAACGGUAAGCGUUGUUGUACGGCGUUUCACACAGCCACUGUCGCAAGAUGGGAAGGCGAAACGCCGCAUACGCGAGCCCGGAUACCGGCCUGAGCCCUGUCGAUUGA
rnacentral:ncRNA from 2 species